UACAGAGGGUGCGAGCGUUAAUCGGAAUUACUGGGCGUAAAGCGCGCGUAGGCGGCUUUGCAAGUCGGGUGUGAAAUCCCCAGGCUUAACCUGGGAACUGCAUUCGAGACUGCAUUGCUAGAGUAUGGGAGAGGGAAGUGGAAUUUCCGGUGUAGCGGUGAAAUGCGUAGAUAUCGGAAGGAACAUCAGUGGCGAAAGCGACUCCCUGGACCAAUACUGACGCUCAUGUGCGAAAGCGUGGGGAGCAAACAGG
rnacentral:rRNA from 1 species